rnacentral:rRNA from 1 species
GAUGAACGCUGGCGGCGUGCCUAAUACAUGCAAGUCGAGCGGACAGACGAGGAGCUUGCUCCUCUGACGUUAGCGGCGGACGGGUGAGUAACACGUGGAUAACCUACCUAUAAGACUGGGAUAACUUCGGGAAACCGGAGCUAAUACCGGAUAAUAUAUUGAACCGCAUGGUUCAAUAGUGAAAGACGGUUUUGCUGUCACUUAUAGAUGGAUCCGCGCCGCUUUAGCUAGUUGGUAAGGUAACGGCUUACCAAGGCAACGAUGCGUAGCCGACCUGAGAGGGUGAUCGGCCACACUGGAACUGAGACACGGUCCAGACUCCUACGGGAGGCAGCAGUAGGGAAUCUUCCGCAAUGGGCGAAAGCCUGACGGAGCAACGCCGCGUGAGUGAUGAAGGUCUUCGGAUCGUAAAACUCUGUUAUUAGGGAAGAACAAAUGUGUAAGUAACUAUGCACGUCUUGACGGUACCUAAUCAGAAAGCCACGGCUAACUACGUG